rnacentral:rRNA from 1 species
AUGAACGCUAGCGGCAGGCCUAACACAUGCAAGUCGAACGGCAGCACGGGAGCAAUCCUGGUGGCGAGUGGCGAACGGGUGAGUAAUAUAUCGGAACGUGCCCAGUCGUGGGGGAUAACGUAGCGAAAGCUACGCUAAUACCGCAUACGAUCUAUGGAUGAAAGCGGGGGAUCGCAAGACCUCGCGCGAUUGGAGCGGCCGAUAUCAGAUUAGGUAGUUGGUGAGGUAAAGGCUCACCAAGCCGACGAUCUGUAGCUGGUCUGAGAGGACGACCAGCCACACUGGGACUGAGACACGGCCCAGACUCCUACGGGAGGCAGCAGUGGGGAAUUUUGGACAAUGGGCGCAAGCCUGAUCCAGCAAUGCCGCGUGCAGGAUGAAGGCCUUCGGGUUGUAAACUGCUUUGUACGGAACGAAACGGUGAGCUCUAAUACAGUUUGCUAAUGACGGUACCGUAAGAAUAAGCACCGGCUAACUACGUG